rnacentral:tRNA from 1 species
AGUAUAUUUGACUUCCAAUCAAAAAGUUUAAUCAAAUUUAAUAUAAAUA